CCGCGCAGCUCUGCCUCAGACCGCUCAAACAUCCCUUUCUGUGCUGUAUUAAUCCAUAUAAGAAAAUCUCUUUUAAUGAGGAGUGAUAUAGUUAUGAACUCUCUAGAGCCAUAAUUAGAGCAAACUAAUUGAAGUUGUGUUUUGACACACUUUCCAAAUUCACGGGUACUGCAUGACAUAUUCACAACGCUACUGCUGCACAGCCAUGGCGACAGCAAAAUCAUUAGGCUAAUAACGCUUAUUUGCAUUCUUAUCAUGCCAGCAGCAUGCCGUUAAAUACUGCUUCAACCAGUGCUCGUUUACUCUGAAAGUUUCCACUGAAAGAUAUUAACAGUAAUUAUUAGUACUUUAGUGGAAUCUCUAAUGUUAAGGA
rfam:Pelecanus crispus contig8136, whole genome shotgun sequence.